UCUAUAUCUAUUGCUUGCUACUCCUUGUAGUCCUUGUUACUUCUGUUAUCCAUCGAUCAGCGUUGUGGGGACGUUUUAUCGUCAAACAUUUAAUUUUGUUAUUUUGCAAGAGCUACAGUAGACAAACUAAUUCGUCAAGAUGACUAUGGCAAUGUUGCAACGUCGCGCCAAUGUAAGGCUGCCGCCCGAAGUAAACAGAGUGUUGUACAUCAGGAACUUGCCAUAUAAAAUCACAGCUGAAGAAAUGUAUGAUAUAUUUGGCAAAUACGGAGCUAUCAGGCAAAUUAGAGUAGGUAACACGGCAGAGACCAGAGGCACAGCAUUCGUUGUCUACGAAGAUAUAUUUGACGCGAAAAACGCAUGUGACCACUUGAGUGGUUUCAACGUGUGCAAUCGUUACUUGGUGGUUCUGUAUUAUCAAAGCAACAAAGCGUUUAAGCGAAUUGACGUUGAUAAAAAGAUGGAGGAUUUAGAUAAAUUGAAGACAAAGUAUAAUUUAAACGACGAAAAGAAAUAAUUGAUCAAACGUUUUAUAGGAGAUAGAAAUUGUGCUUACAAAAUAUUUAUUAAGCCUUGUAUAAUUAUCCUACCUAUAAUACUUGAGAGGUUGGAUUUUCUUCCCGAAAAAACAUAGAAAAACCUGGGACGAAAAAAUGUCGGCGCAUUAAAAGGUCGCAAUUAAUACCACUUUCACAGUCAGUUGCGGAGUGGCAUUCCUGCGCUUUCAGGGACUCGAGAGGAUGAUGUAGCUAUAGCGUAGUCUAAAGCAACACUCACACUGUCGCUAACAAGCAAGGUACGUUGUAGUACUAGUUUCAAGUUUAAAAAACGACAAGUUCGAUAAA